UCGUAACAAGGUUUCCGUAGGUGAACCUGCGGAAGGAUCAUUACCUAGAGUUGUAGGCUUUGCCUGCUAUCUCUUACCCAUGUCUUUUGAGUACCUUCGUUUCCUCGGCGGGUCCGCCCGCCGAUUGGACAAUUUAAACCAUUUGCAGUUGCAAUCAGCGUCUGAAAAAACUUAAUAGUUACAACUUUCAACAACGGAUCUCUUGGUUCUGGCAUCGAUGAAGUACGCAGCGAAAUGCGAUAAGUAGUGUGAAUUGCAGAAUUCAGUGAAUCAUCGAAUCUUUGAACGCACAUUGCGCCCCUUGGUAUUCCAUGGGGCAUGCCUGUUCGAGCGUCAUUUGUACCUUCAAGCUCUGCUUGGUGUUGGGUGUUUGUCUCGCCUCUGCGCGUAGACUCGCCUCAAAACAAUUGGCAGCCGGCGUAUUGAUUUCGGAGCGCAGUACAUCUCGCGCUUUGCACUCAUAACGACGACGUCCAAAAGUACAUUUUUACACUCUUGACCUCGGAUCAGGUAGGGAUACCCGCUGAACUUAAGCAUAUCA
rnacentral:rRNA from 1 species